rnacentral:rRNA from 1 species
UUUAAAGGUCGNACAGACCUACCUCCACAACUCCUACGCCAUGGNNAAUUUUUAAUUCAACAUCGAGGUCGCAAACUUUUUUGUCGAUAUGAACUCUCAAAAUAAAUAACGCUGUUAUCCCUAAAGUAACUUAAAUUUUUAAUCAACAANCAANGGAUCANUUACACACNNNNNNAAAUAUCUCUGUAUUUUAAAUUUAAACAGUUACNNAAAUUAUAUCAUCGUCGCCCCAACGAAAUAAUUNUAGUAUAUAAAUAAUAUUAAACUUUCAACUCAUCUAAUUAUAUACUAAAUUAUUAAGCUUUAUAGGGUCUUAUCGUCCCUUUAAAAUAUUUAAGCCUUUUCACUUAAAAGUCAAAUUCAAUUUUUGUGUUUGAGACAGUUUGCUUCUUGUCCAACCAUUCAUACAAGCCUCCAAUUAAGAGACUAAUGACUAUGCUACCUUCGCACGGUUAAAAUACCGCGGCCCUUUAGUUUGAUCCCAGUGGGCAGGU